GAUGAAGAACGCAGCGGACGUGCGAAACGUAAUGUGAAUUGCAGAAUUCAGUGAAUCAUCGAAUCUUUGAACGCAUCUUGCGCUCCUUGGUAUUCCGAGGAGCAUGCCUGUUUGAGUGUCGUGAAUACUCUCAACUUCAACCCUUUUUUCGGAAAGGGAGGAAGGUUGGACUUGGGUGUUUGUUGAAGUGCGAGCUUCGACUCAUCCUAAAUGCAUUAGCGAUCUGCCUCGAUCACACACAAUGUGAUAAUUAAAACUAAAGCAUUGUUUAAUGAUCAAGUCGAGACUGCUUCUAACUGUCGCAAGACAAUAACGUGCAUACAUUUGUGCAUGUCAUUUGACCUCAAAUCAGGUAGGACUACCCGCUGAACUUAAGCAUAUCAAUAAGCGGAGGA
rnacentral:misc_RNA from 1 species